rnacentral:rRNA from 1 species
CCUGGGAACUGCAUUCGAAACUGGCAGGCUAGAGUCUUGUAGAGGGGGGUAGAAUUCCAGGUGUAGCGGUGAAAUGCGUAGAGAUCUGGAGGAAUACCGGUGGCGAAGGCGGCCCCCUGGACAAAGACUGACGCUCAGGUGCGAAAGCGUGGGGAGCAAACAGGAUUAGAUACCCUGGUAGUCCACGCCGUAAACGAUGUCGAUUUGGAGGUUGUGCCCUUGAGGCGUGGCUUCCGGAGCUAACGCGUUAAAUCGACCGCCUGGGGAGUACGGCCGCAAGGUUAAAACUCAAAUGAAUUGACGGGGGCCCGCACAAGCGGUGGAGCAUGUGGUUUAAUUCGAUGCAACGCGAAGAACCUUACCUGGUCUUGACAUCCACAGAACUUUCCAGAGAUGGAUUGGUGCCUUCGGGAACUGUGAGACAGGUGCUGCAUGGCUGUCGUCAGCUCGUGUUGUGAAAUGUUGGGUUAAGUCCCGCAACGAGCGCAACCC